GACAUAGGUGGCAAACGUUAUCCGGAAUUACUGGGCGUAAAGUGUGCGCAGGCGGUUAUGCAAGACAGAUGUGAAAUCCCCGGGCUCAACCUGGGAACUGCAUUUGUGACUGCAUGGCUAGAGUACGGUAGAGGGGGAUGGAAUUCCGCGUGUAGCAGUGAAAUGCGUAGAUAUGCGGAGGAACACCGAUGGCGAGGGCAAUCCCCUGGGCCUGCACUGACGCUCAUGCACGAAAGCGUGGGGAGCAAACAGG
rnacentral:rRNA from 1 species